rnacentral:rRNA from 1 species
GACGAACGCUGGCGGCGUGCUUAACACAUGCAAGUCGAGCGGAAAGGCCACUUCGGUGGUACUCGAGCGGCGAACGGGUGAGUAACACGUGAGUAAUCUGCCCUUGGCUUCGGGAUAGCCACCGGAAACGGUGAUUAAUACCGGAUAUGACCACUCCAGGCAUCUGGUGGUGGUGGAAAGUUUUUCGGCCAGGGAUGUGCUCGCGGCCUAUCAGCUUGAUGGUGAGGUAAUGGCUCACCAUGGCUUCGACGGGUAGCCGGCCUGAGAGGGUGACCGGUCACACUGGGACUGAGACACGGCCCAGACUCCUACGGGAGGCAGCAGUGGGGAAUAUUGGACAAUGGGCGGAAGCCUGAUCCAGCAACGCCGCGUGAGGGAUGACGGCCUUCGGGUUGUAAACCUCUUUCGCCUAUGACGAAGCGCAAGUGACGGUAAUAGGUAAAGAAGCACCGGCCAACUACGUGCCAGCCGCCGCAGUAACAC